AUGGUGGAUCGGGGCUCAUUGCAGGGUUUUAGGAAAUUUUCCACACAGGAAACCUCUGUUGGAGAUUUGGGGCCAGGCCAAGGGAAUUUGGGGCAGAAGCAGCGAAGGUUUGGGGCUGGGGGAGCGGCCGUGACCCUGCUGGAGCCCGGGGGCACCUCCAGCCCCCCGGGGGCUCCCUGCGCCUCCUCUGCCGAGCAUCCGGGUUUGAUUUCGGGAACUUUGGGAUGGGCUGGUUUCGACAGAGGCCCGGGCAGGGGCUGGAAUUCGUCGCGGGGAUCACCAACAAUGCUGGUUGGACCGGGUACGCGCCCUCAGUCAAGGGCCGGUUCACGAUCUCGAGGGACAACGGGCAGAGCUCGGUGACGCUGACCAUGAACAGCCUCAAGGACGAGGAUUCCGCCGUCUAUUUCUGUGCCAAAGAUGCUCGUACUAGUGGAGGUUGGGCUGCUGCUGCUGUUGGGGUUUUUUGGCCCCGUCCCCAUGUCCCAGACCCUUCCCCUCACCCCAAGCCCUGA